UGUGACCAUAUCAUGUUGAAACCUUUUCUUGUAUGAUCACUGAAGUUAAGUGACAUCAAGCCUGAUCAGUAACAAGGUGGGUGACCACUUGGAAAUACCAGGUGCUGUAAG